GCCUUUGGAAACGAAGAUUAAUGUCCCAUAGUACCACUUGUAGCAUUGCGAGAUGGUUAAAGCUUUCGGGCGGUAGAAGAUGGCCAUGCGUCCCAUUAGUUAGAUGGUGAGGUAACGGCUCACCAUGACUACGAUGGGUAGGGGCCCUGAGAGGGGGAUCCCCCACACUGGUACUGAGACACGGACCAGACUCCUACGGGAGGCAGCAGUGAGGAAUAUUGGACAAUGGAGGAGACUCUGAUCCAGCCAUGCCGCGUGCAGGAAGAAUGCCCUAUGGGUAGUAAACUGCUUUUAUACGGGAAGAAAAAGGGUUACGUGUAGCCCACUGACGGUACCGUAAGAAUAAGGACCGGCUAACUCCGUGCCAGCAGCCGCGGUAAUACGGAGGGUCCGAGCGUUAUCCGGAAUUAUUGGGUUUAAAGGGUCCGUAGGCGGGCAGCUAAGUCAGAGGUGAAAGUUUGCAGCUCAACUGUAAAAUUGCCUUUGAUACUGGUUGUCUUGAGUUAUGGUGAAGUUGCCGGAAUAUGUAGUGUAGCGGUGAAAUGCAUAGAUAUUACAUAGAACACCGAUUGCGAAGGCAGGUGACUAACCAUAUACUGACGCUGAUGGACGAAAGCGUGGGGAGCGAACA
rnacentral:rRNA from 1 species